rnacentral:lncRNA from 1 species
UUUUUUUUUUUUUUUUUUUUUUUUGCCAUUUGUGAUAUUUUUUCAUUCAUGUGUUUAACAUUUUGGAUUUCCACAUUCAUAAAUAGCAGCAAAUCUAAACAAACAUGGAAAAAAGCAAGUCUGAAGCUCUGGCUUUUAUGACCAUGCAAAGAGAAAUUCACAUUCAAAAUCAACAUUUAAAUAAUGGCACAGAUGCAUACAAGCAGGGAAAUAGAUAGUUACAAUGGAAAUGUGCCACAUGCCUCAGAACACAUAACCACAACAGGGUGUCUCUUUUAUGACUUCCUUAAUGCACUGCAAUAUGUCUAGAUAUCAAAGGACAUAUGGUAUAUUUUCCCUUUAAUUGCACAUUUCUUUGCUCUUGUGAGUUACUCACAACCUUAACAUUAUUUAAUUGUAAUUUAGAUGCAUAAAUCUCAGUCAUCAUCAAGAGUUUCAAAUGCAAAUAUGUUUCAAUGAAAUCUUACUUCCACCUCUAUUCCAACUUUUGUCAGUGUAGUCUUUCUUUUUUGUCGGUGUGCAUUUGAGUAAGUAACAAUUUUUGGAAAGAGAAGUAUUCAGACAGAGAAGGAUCAGUCCUUUUCCGAAAGACUUUUUCCUAUGUUUCAAACUCAUAUUUCUUAGUAACAACUUGUUGUCUGCCACUUGUAUUAUCUGAAUUUCCACAGAGUCAUGGACAUUUCCAUCCACAAGAAGGAAAACAGAGAAUGCUGAUUCAUUAACAUUCUCAAAUGUACAUUUUAAAUUUAAAAAAUUUAAAUGUAGUAUUUAUGUAGCUAUAUAUGUAAGAAAGGGACAGCAAAAAAUUUUAUGGUAGCACCACUUGCUUAAAAACUUUAAUGACUGCAGGUCUUGGUAUGAAAGUUAAGAAUUCUUCCUAUGAGCCAGGUGUUUCUUAGACAAAUCUUUUUUGGUGAGAGCACCUAAUUUUCUGUACUCACUCCAACUGACAGCAACACACCCAUUUUCUUUGCUAUAGUAAGGAUGGAUGAUCGCUCAGGAUCUACUGCUAACAGAUAGGAUAGUGGUGAAUUUAAGCCUAUUUUUCAGAGUAGACUACUUUUUCAUCUUGAAAUUUAAAAAAUAAAGGAGGUGUUUAUCUAGGCUUUUUGUAACAUCAACAAUACCAUCAGGUAACAGAGCAGAUCCUAAAGAAGAAGGGUCUUUCAGUAGAUGAAAAAGGAAGAUGGCAAAAGGAAAAAAAUGCAAUUUUUGGUUUAGUAUUUCUUUACCAACUGAACUUGGUGAUCUCAUAACUAUUUUGGGAUUUUCUACAUGCCCAGUCUCUGUGUUAAUUCAUCUUGUGGCAACAUGAAGCUUGCACUUUAAGGUCUGCCUGUGUAAAUGGUUGAUGCUCAAGUUCUGUUUAUUUAAAACCCAGCAACUUGUUAUCAAAAUACACAACAAUAUCUGGUUUUUAGGAUAAAUGGUGCUUUUGGCUUCCUAAAAGGGAUAAUGCUAACAGAAUAAAUUUGUCUUGAAUUUAUUCUGCCAGUUUCUUACCUGAUUCCCCCCCCACACACACACAGAAUUUGGUAAUUUCUAUUCUGUAUUGGCUAUUGUAUGGAAUAGUAAUAAAAAGUAGCACCUGAAAUGCAAGCCUAUAUGUUCCAGUAUAAAAUGAAGUUCUCAAACAGCACUGCACACUACAAGGAUAUUGGUGGCUCUGCCAUAUUCCAGAGGGGCAAUAACAAACCCCCAAAAAAUCAUUGGGAUGCUAAACUUUUAUUCUACUACUUGUCAUUUUAGUCUGCAAAUAUAAAUAUUUAGAAUAAAGAAGCUCACAGCAGGUUCAGCGGUUUGCACUAAUGGGAGUAAGUGCAAUAUCUGCAGUUAGAAAAUCUUUCCAUGUCCUGAUUUUAUUCUUCAAAAGGGAAUCUCCAGCUACUAGGAACAUAUGCUAUAAAUAAAAAAUAGCAGAACAUCUAAUCUAAGCCUCCUUAGAGCUGCAAAUUCCUCAAGUAUUCUUAGAGGUUAAUAUUUUAUUCCAUGGCACAGAAGCAAAGUGCUACAGUUCACUAACUUCUUCAGUUCCUGAAAGCUGAAAGCAACGUUCAAAAGACAAACAUGAGAAGACACUGCCAAGACAUACUGAAGAAAAGGCAGCAGUGAUCUUGAAGAUCACUGAAACUUCAUAUCUGGUAAAAGGCAACACAUUUGCAGUGGAAAGUUAUAGUGUUCUUCUGGGGACUCUUACUUCUGCAUCAUCUGCAUCAUCUCCAGCAUCUGCCUUCUGAAGUACAGAGGAGAUGGCUGAACAAUUAGAGGGCAGGACUUCCACCUUGUCACAAUUCCAAUCAACUCCUGAGGGGAAAGAGAAAGUGCAGGUUAUGUUGAGUGUAAUUUCCUUUCAGAGACUCUGAUCCCAUGAGGUAAAGAAGACUCCCCUAAUUCUGCUGGCAAUGCUCUUUCCAGUGCUGUCCAAGAUGCUCUUGCCCUCUGUGGCAAGGGCACGUUGUUGGCUUACAACCACCUUGUCCACCAGGACUCCCAGGUACUUCCUGCAGUCAUCUCUCAGCAUGAGCUGGUUCAUGGGGUUGGUUCUCCCCAGGUGCAGGACUUUGCUCUACCCUUUGUUGAACUUCGUAUGGUUCAUGUUUGACUGUUUCUUCAAUCCACUGAGGUUAUCCAAGAUCAAUGUGUAUCAACAACUCUCACUCCUGGAAUAUCUGUGAACUUGUUGAGGAUCCAAUUCCCUGCUGUAAUUCAGAAUUCCUCAUAGUACUUGGUCAGCAUCAACUUGGAAGGUUCAUUAGAGAUGGUAAAUUUUAAGCCAUGAAUGAAGAGAAAGGAAACAAAAAAAACUUGCUCUCUGGAGAAAGGAAACAAAAAAAACUUGAAUUCAUCAGAAAUUAUGACAAAGACAGCCAAGUGGAAGAGAGAAUGAUAAAAUCUGAUAAUGUAAGAAAAGAAAACACAGCACUAGAAGCUGGUCUUGCACAUUAGACCAUGUGAGGACAAUCUUCAAUUCACUAGGAAGCUGAUAGUGAUUUAGAUGCCAAUGAAACUGGAAAAAGUUUGGAAUUCCAUUUGUGAGAAACCCCGUGCAUGCCUUCUUUUCUUCUCUACUGUAAAGAAGUAUGUACCAAACUUUGCAGUUCUUUCAAAUAUAACUUCUUGUCUGUUUUUGCAAAAAAACCCUGCCUAACUCAGCCACGACAUUCCUAAAAUGCUGAAUAUAGAUCUACAUGGGUUAGUGAAAUAGUCUGCAUCACCCAUGGACAGAAUUUGAGUUCCUUCAACUGUUGCUCACAGGAGUGUGUUAAAGGAUUUAAGUUUUUGUGCUUUCCAUAGCUGUUGAUCAGAGGAGAUUUUGGCAAACAAGUUGCCAAAGAAAAAGACAUGUGGCAUAGAAAUAGUUGAGAACUGCUGCUCUCAUAUACUUAUAUUUCUAGAUAUCCUAAGAUGAAGUACUGGAACGUUAUCAGAGUCUAACUACGAGCUGCAAGGGGAAAUGGUUGACCUGGCAGACAGAAAAGUUGUGCACUACAUGUUGCAUAGUGACUGUGAGAGAGUCCCUUUGCAAAAUGUACGUGAGCCUUUCUAAGAUCAAUUUAAGCAGGUAAGUUCAUGUAUGUUGUGGUGAGAUUGGCAACUUCCCUUCUGUCAUCUGCAAUUGGUGGCAAUGCUAUAGCUGGGUAAGAGUUUUUGGACAGAAAUACCCCAAAGUUGCUCCAGGCAUUCAAAAGACACCAUCAAUAGCUAAGAAGCCAUCCAGUACUUAGUGCAUGCCAAAAGCUUCAAGAAAAGCCUGGGCCUCUUUCCUUCAGGAAAAUGCAAAAUACUUGGUAAAUGUACUUGUUUUAAUGAUUUCAUUGUAUGCUACACUGUGAAAUCUGGUGGAAAAAACAUUGAACUUGCAAUGAUAAGGAGAAACCAACCAUCCCAGGUAUGCAUUAAUAACUCUAUAGGAAACAAUUAUAUAAAUGGUAUGCAAAAUCUUCUCACAAAAAUUAUUCCAGGUGACACCUGUGCAUUCAACUUGAUGUAUGAAAUCUCCCCUAACAUCUGGUGGUACAAUGUUAGGUGACUUUUGUAGUGUCUCUGUAGAUUGAUAGAGCUGGGAGCUAUAAUGGUUGCUGCUGAUUUAUAAUAGUGUAAGACACUGUUGGGAGCAUUUCAUGUAGGAAGCAGUGUAAGAAGGUGUAUGGCAACAUGCUACUUGUGGGGGUUGUCUAAGACAUUAUCAUUGUCUUUGAAAAUGAUGAAAAUUGGAGCAGUGUUUUAUGCUAUAGUGAUCCUUACCACAGAGUUUCUGACAUUUUGUUGUCCCUUUGUACCUAAAUAGCUUCUGUUUCCAUCACAGGUUGAAGAUACUGGCUAUAUUAUGUAUAAAAAAUUUGCAUUAAAAUAUCAUCAGAAUGCAGAAUUCUCAUUUUUCAUAAUAGUUACUGUAAUACUACCUCUAUAAAGUACUGCCAGCAGGUUAAAGGAAGACAAACUUUCUUCCCUGCUCAGCACUGGUGAGGACACACCUGGAGUGGUGUAUUCCAGUCUGGGUUCCCCAGUACAAGAGAGACAUGGAUGUACUGGAAAGAGUCCAGCAAAGGGCCCCAAGGAUGAUGAAAGGACUGGAGCAUCUCACCUGUGAGGAAAGGUUGAGAGUGUUGAGACUGCUCAGCCUAGAAAAGAGAAGGCUCACAGAGAUAAAUGUCUAUAAAUAUCUGAUGGGAGGGUACGAAGAGGACAGCGCCAGUGGUGUUCAGUGACAAGACUGGAAGUAACAGGCUUAAAUUGAAGCACAGGAAGUUAUGUUGAACAUCAGGAUUAUUUAUUUAUUUAUUUACAAUGAGGAUGAUGGAGCACCAGAGGGUAUUGUCUGUCUCCAGGUAUUCAGCUUGAAUAACAAAUUUUAAUGAGUGUGUACUUUGAAAUUCAGUAUACAAUUCCUCUCUCCCAGUAUGAUACAGUAAGUGACUGUGACUUGGAUGUUUCAGAAACAGCACAGAAAAAAUAGGGGAGGGAAUAAUAUGUAAAUGCAUUUUCCCAAAUGUUUAGAUAGGGCAAACAAUUUGCUUUGCAUUAAUGCUUUUGAAAUUAGACUCAUUUUUCAGUUUUAACAUUUGUUCAAAGUUUAAAAUACCCCUCUUUCUCCCUUCAAAUAUGAGAACAAUGUGAGGGAAAGAAGAGGAAGGGAAAAAAAAUCUCAAUCUUUUUAUUAAUGACCAAAAGGAAAAAAAGAUAAAUACAGGUAUUCUUUUCAGGCACUUUUUGAUCAAGUAAACCAGCUUCUUUUAAUUAUCUAUGGAACGAAAACAAGGAAAAAAGAUUGCAGUUCCAGGGUCAGAAAUCAUUAGCUUUCUAUGCUUUUAUGCUCUUUGUGUAUUAAGGGUGAACCAAAAUAUGAAUUCCCAGUGGAAGACCAGCAGUUCAGCUAAAAAACAUGCACCUGCUUAAUCUGAGACGUUAUGCUAGCACAGAGAAAGUGGAAAUAUAACACACCUCUCCAGCAAUAGUCUUCUACAAUGUGAUACUUGUGAGGAUAAAGGAAAAAUAGAUUGGAGCAUCACAAAUGGAAAUCCAGAGCAUUAAUAAUUUUGUUUUACUCAGAUUUUUAAUGCAAAAGAAAGUGAAAUGUAAGUUAGAGAAGCAGAGAAGGGAAAAAUAUCUAAGUGACAGAACAAUUAUGACAGCAUAAUGUUUUUGAAGCCCUAAGAGGUACUAAUUGUCCACAGUGCACAGAUUUGCUGAAUGAACUUGUUUCUGUAUAAGCUGAGUUUUGUGUUUUUCCUGAAACAUGAUGGAGCUAGGGUUGUGCUACUUCCAAUAUGCUUGAGCUGUGUAAAAAGAGGCUUUUUUCCCUCACACAUAUAUUUCCCACAAAAGAUUACUGAUAUGUUUUACAGAAGCUGAUGAUUGGCCUGGGUUAAUGGUGGUACAUGAUAUGUAAAAUCUGUCAGAACAUCUUUUUUCCUCCUUUUUUAUUUUAAUUUUUGCAAAUAGGCUAAUUACUGCUCAGUGGUACUAUGAGUCCAGUAAAGAUCUUAUUUGUGUUCUGUUUAAUUUACUAAGUGUUGCAAUACUGUACAUUAUUCAUGAGCAAUAUCAAUGAAUAAAUAAAAUAGCAAUGUCACCU